rnacentral:rRNA from 1 species
UGGGGAAUAUUGGACAAUGGGGGGAACCCUGAUCCAGCCAUGCCGCGUGUGUGAAGAAGGCCUUAUGGUUGUAAAGCACUUUAAGCGAGGAGGAGGCUCUCUUGGUUAAUACCCAAGAUGAGUGGACGUUACUCGCAGAAUAAGCACCGGCUAACUCUGUGCCAGCAGCCGCGGUAAUACAGAGGGUGCGAGCGUUAAUCGGAUUUACUGGGCGUAAAGCGUGCGUAGGCGGCUUUUUAAGUCGGAUGUGAAAUCCCCGAGCUUAACUUGGGAAUUGCAUUCGAUACUGGGAAGCUAGAGUAUGGGAGAGGAUGGUAGAAUUCCAGGUGUAGCGGUGAAAUGCGUAGAGA